rnacentral:rRNA from 1 species
GGGAUAACACUUGGAAACAGGUGCUAAUACCGUAUAACACUAUUUUCCGCAUGGAAGAAAGUUGAAAGGCGCUUUUGCGUCACUGAUGGAUGGACCCGCGGUGCAUUAGCUAGUUGGUGAGGUAACGGCUCACCAAGGCCACGAUGCAUAGCCGACCUGAGAGGGUGAUCGGCCACACUGGGACUGAGACACGGCCCAGACUCCUACGGGAGGCAGCAGUAGGGAAUCUUCGGCAAUGGACGAAAGUCUGACCGAGCAACGCCGCGUGAGUGAAGAAGGUUUUCGGAUCGUAAAACUCUGUUGUUAGAGAAGAACAAGGAUGAGAGUAGAACGUUCAUCCCUUGACGGUAUCUAACCAGAAAGCCACGGCUAACUACGUGCCAGCAGCCGCGGUAAUACGUAGGUGGCAAGCGUUGUCCGGAUUUAUUGGGCGUAAAGCGAGCGCAGGCGGUUUCUUAAGUCUGAUGUGAAAGCCCCCGGCUCAACCGGGGAGGGUCAUUGGAAACUGGGAGACUUGAGUGCAGAAGAGGAGAGUGGAAUUCCAUGUGUAGCGGUGAAAUGCGUAGAUAUAUGGAGGAACACCAGUGGCGAAGGCGGCUCUCUGGUCUGUAACUGACGCUGAGGCUCGAAAGCGUGGGGAGCGAACAGGAUUAGAUACCCU